rnacentral:rRNA from 1 species
UGGGGAAUAUUGGACAAUGGGCGCAAGCCUGAUCCAGCCAUGCCGCGUGUGUGAAGAAGGCCUUCGGGUUGUAAAGCACUUUUGUUGGGGAAAAAAAGACACCGGUUAAUACCCGGGGUUUCUGACGGUACCCAAAGAAUAAGCACCGGCUAACUUCGUGCCAGCAGCCGCGGUAAUACGAAGGGUGCAAGCGUUACUCGGAAUUACUGGGCGUAAAGCGUGCGUAGGUGGUUCGUUAAGUCAGAUGUGAAAGCCCCGGGCUCAACCUGGGAAUUGCAUUUGAUACUGGCGGGCUAGAGUGCGGUAGAGGAGAGUGGAAUUCCCGGUGUAGCAGUGAAAUGCGUAGAGAUCGGGAGGAACAUCAGUUGCGAAGACGGCUCUCUGGACCAGCACUGACACUGAGGCACGAAAGCGUGGGGAGCAAA